GCCUAACGUAGUAUCCAUAGCGUUGCCUGCUAUAUCUUACCCAUGUCUUUUGAGUACCUUACGUUUCCUCGGCGGGUCCGCCCGCCGAUUGGACAAUUUAAACCAUUUGCAGUUGCAAUCAGCGUCUGAAAAAACUUAAUAGUUACAACUUUCAACAACGGAUCUCUUGGUUCUGGCAUCGAUGAAGAACGCAGCGAAAUGCGAUAAGUAGUGUGAAUUGCAGAAUUCAGUGAAUCAUCGAAUCUUUGAACGCACAUUGCGCCCCUUGGUAUUCCAUGGGGCAUGCCUGUUCGAGCGUCAUUUGUACCUUCAAGCUCUGCUUGGUGUUGGGUGUUUGUCUCGCCUCUGCGUGUAGACUCGCCUCAAAACAAUUGGCAGCCGGCGUAUUGAUUUCGGAGCGCAGUACAUCUCGCGCUUUGCACUCAUAACGACGACGUCCAAAAGUACAUUUUUACACUCUUGACCUCGGAUCAGGUAGGGAUACCCGCUGAACUUAAGCAUAUCAAUAAGCGGAGGAAA
rnacentral:rRNA from 1 species